rnacentral:rRNA from 1 species
CUGGCGGCGUGCCUAAUACAUGCAAGUCGAGCGAACUUGAUGGGAGCUUGCUCCCUGAGAGUUAGCAGCGGACGUGUGAGUAACACGUGGGUAACCUGCCUGUAAGACUGGGAUAACUCCGGGAAACCGGGGCUAAUACCGGAUAACUUUUUUCUUCGCAUGAAGGAGAAUUGAAAGACGGCUUUAAGCUACCACUUACAGAUGGACCCGCGGCGCAUUAGCUAGUUGGUGAGGUAACGGCUCACCAAGGCGACGAUGCGUAGCCGACUUGAGAGGGUGAUCGGCCACACUGGGACUGAGACACGGCCCAGACUCCUACGGGAGGCAGCAGUAGGGAAUCUUCCGCAAUGGACGAAAGUCUGACGGAGCAACGCCGCGUGAGUGAUGAAGGUUUUCGGAUCGUAAAACUCUGUUGUUAGGGAAGAACAAGUAUCGUUCGAAUAGGGCGGUACCUUGACGGUACCUAACCAGAAAGCCACGGCUAACUACGUGCCAGCAGCCGCGGUAAUACGUAGGUGGCAAGCGUUGUCCGGAAUUAUUGGGCGUAAAGCGCGCGCAGGCGGUUUCUUAAGUCUGAUGUGAAAGCCCACGGCUCAACCGUGGAGGGUCAUUGGAAACUGGGAGACUUGAGUGCAGAAGAGAAGAGCGGAAUUCCACGUGUAGCGGUGAAAUGCGUAGAGAUGUGGAGGAACACCAGUGGCGAAGGCGGCUCUUUGGUCUGUAACUGACGCUGAGGCGCGAAAGCGUGGGGAGCGAACAGGAUUAGAUACCCUGGUAGUCCACGCCGUAAACGAUGAGUGCUAAGUGUUAGAGGGUUUCCGCCCUUUAGUGCUGCAGCUAACGCAUUAAGCACUCCGCCUGGGGAGUACGGCCGCAAGGCUGAAACUCAAAGGAAUUGACGGGG